GCUCUGCUUAGCUAUCUGGCAGGAACUCAUUUCACAGAGAUUCAGCAACAGUCUGCAGCCUGUAAAUGAUUUUUCUGCUGCCAUUCAGCCACCUUGCAACUUAAUGAAGGCAAGGAGGAAAAGUCUCUAUGCACCCUUAGUCACCUCGUUUCCUUUUUGGACCCUUCAAGCAGCUCUGUCUCUGCAGAAGGAAAAAGGGGGAUUAUAGCAAUUGCAAAACUUCCUGCUGCAACUUAUAUUCAUUAACAUCCUUCCGAUGAUAACUGUCCCAAGUCAGGGUGGUGCCAAAAUCUGUGUGCAGAACCACGGCGAGGGGCUGGGGCUGUCGGCUGAGGUACUGCAGAACUCCUGGCAGCCAAAGCACAUUUGAACUAAUUUUAGAAACUGCAAGUGUGUGAAAUGAAAUGCAAACAAAAUAUGGGAAAAAAGUGAGUCAGUGUCUCAUGCAGUAGUGGCCUAGAUUGAGUGCAUAAACUGUGAAAGUAGAAGUGGGUUGCAGUUGAACUUGGCUUGUGCUAAUCCAGUUUUGAACGGUUUCCGCUCUUGGCAUUCCCUGUGCUGUUCUGUUCAAAGUGGAGAUUUGCAAGCAGCUCUAGCAAUUUCCUGUCCAGCUGCAGCUCAAGUGACUCCCUUGUUUGGUUUUUUUGGUAGGGUUUGUUGUUGUUGUUUUUUUAAUAUGGUCUGUGGAUAAUUUUAGCCAGUUUCCUCUUUGUGGAUUAUUAAUCUGCUUUCCUUGUAGAACCUACAUAGCUGUGUCCCUACUGUUCUGCUGAAGUUAACAGAUGGCCUCCCCGCCACUUCCUCUCGUUUUGCUAUGGGUUUGUUGUCAGGCCACUUCUGAAAUUAAUAGUGUUUUCUGGCCGGCUGCCACAGGCCAUUACCACAAAGGGGAAGUAACACAUCUGAAUAGCAGGAAGCCGGGCAGGGUCACAGCGUGAACUGAACCUGUUGAGCGCAAUCAGGCCUCUCCCGUUUGGCAAGUGUAAGGCUCCUCUUCCCUCCCCCCUUUUCAUGCGCCUCGCACAGAGAAAGGGCUGACACCAAAUGCCUCAGCUGUUUGCACCGGGCAAAUAUUUCCGGCUGAAGGAGCUGCGAAUGUUGGUUGUGACUAGGUGCCCCUUAAGGAAACAAGCCUGCAAGAUCCCCAAACCAGCCUGCCAGCAGUCCAAAAGGGUAACAUCCAUGUGCACAUCUACUAGUUCCUCACAAAAGGCAUGAAUCUCAUUGGCGUUUACAUGCAGGAACCCCUGGUAGCCUCAGAUGAAGUUUUCUAGGAUGAAAGUGAAGGUUUAUUCAAUGGCUGAAAUGCUAUUCAAGGACUUGGAAGAUCUCGUUUGUCAUCUCUUCACAGUAUUUCUGUAUUUUUUUUUCAGUAACUCAUGUAGUCUUUGGCUAAAACAAAGGCAACAGUACUUCACACAACACUGUGAAUAGCACAUGACAUAAAGGUCAGCAAAAGAGAAGACAGCUAAUGAAUGUAAACUGUAAAAAAAUUACUUCUAGUAUCUGAAUCCUAAAAACCUGUGAGAUUUUUUGCUUUUACAGGUAAACCACACAGAAUCCCAGCAAAACUAUGGAUCUGAACAGAAGUAUUGGUGAUACCAAGAAGAGUUUAUUGGAAAAACACUAUUAUUACUACA